GACCUCGUAGCUCAGUUGGUAGAGCAUUGGACUAGCAAACCAAAUGUAGCGGGUUCGAUUCCCACCGCGGUCA